CUGGCUCCCUGUGGCUCUACAGACAGGCAGACCUGUUUGAAGACUGUUGUGCUGUUAGUAGAUCACAAAAAAAAUGUGGUGGUUUUCAGAUCAGAUGGCAGUGUGUUACUGAAUGAGCUGACAGUGAAUGUGCCUUAUGUGUCAGCCAGCUUCUCGGUAUUCAAGCCAUCUUCCUACUACCUUGUUGUACAAACUUCUUUUGGGCUUCAGCUGCAGAUCCAGUUGUUUCCAGUCAUGCAGCU